GAGGAAUAUUGGGCAAUGCCCGCAAGGGUGACCCAGCAACGCCGCGUGGAGGAUGAAUGUCGUAAGAUUGUAAACUCCUGUUAGAGGGGAAGAAUAGUACCGGUUGGACCGGUAUAUGACUGUACCCUCAGAGAAAGCCCCGGCUAACUACGUGCCAGCAGCCGCGGUAAUACGUAGGGGGCAAGCGUUGUCCGGAUUUACUGGGUGUAAAGGGCGCGCAGGCGGGAUAAAAAGUCAGUGGUGAAAUCCUACAGCUUAACUGUAGAACUUCCUUUGNUACUUUUAUUCUUGAGUUCGGGAGAGAGAGACGGAAUUCCAGGUGUAGUGGUGAAAUACGUAGAUAUCUGGAAGAACACCAGUUGCGAAGGCGGUCUCUUGGUCCGACACUGACGCUGAGGCGCGAAAGCGUGGGGAGCAAACA
rnacentral:rRNA from 1 species